UUUGCUCUUUCACAUCACCUGUCCACCUUGGGUGGUUUUCAUUAUUAAAACCAUAGAGUCCAUGGUUUUCAUAAUUAAAACCAUCAACUUUUGACCUUGGAUUUGAUAUCCUAGUCCGCAACACUUUCUUCACAGCUUCUCUCUCUCUCAUCCACUACAUUUGAAAUGUUUAUCUUUCUCUCUCUAUACUUCAAUAUCAAUUGCAUGAUGAAAGGAUUAUCAUUGUUCUCCAUCAUCUUCUCCACCUAAUUCCCCAUCUUCUUGCCCUGCAAAAUUUCCCAAAACCUAGUCUAGCGCAGAAAAGAUCCUUGAAAACGUUGCCAACUCCGGUGAAGAAAUCCGAAGAGUCCAGAUUCGGAAGGUUGCGGAUGAGGACCCAAUCCACCGUAAGAUCUUCUUCCAUGGUCUCGGAUGGGACACCAACGCCGAAACCUUAACCAAUGUGUUUAAGGAAUUGCUCAUUUUGAUGGGUCUGAGGGUGGGUUGCAAAGAGAGGCGCAGAUCUUGGCAGCUGCGACGACGGAGCCUCGGCUGCAUUUGCGACGAUUGAGCAUCGGCGAUAUUAUCAAUAAUAUCACGAUAUAUUGACGAUAAUUAAGUGGAUAAGUGUGAAAAUAUUACCCUCUAAAAAAACUAUAUUUCGCUGAUAAUAUCGAUAUUUUAGACCUUGA